CUCUGAACUGUUGCUGCUACUACCAGCCAAGGAGCUGCAAGGCACAGAGUUUGCACCAGCCAGAACAAGUCUCUCUCUGUUUCCAAAAACUUCAUUCACUGCAACACAGCUCUAGGGAAAAGCCAGAGGAAAAUAAUACACAGCAAGGACUACCUUCUAUAAAGAUACCUGAAAUGCUGUUUUAGGUCACUGGUGGACUGGCCCAGACCUUGUGCUAUUCCAGUUAGUUCAUCUGGCUUAAAUGCAGCUGCUUUAUUGAAUGGCUUGGAACCACCUUAGCUCUGCCCUCAUCUGGACAACUUGGAAAUAAAAGCUACCUGCAACAGUAUAUAAGCAUUUAUUUUAAAAAUAAAAAAGAAAUCUGGUCCUA